CAGUGUGUUAGUGAUGUAGGGUGUGUCAGGACACAGAUCAGUGUGUUAGUGAUGUAGGGUGUGUCAGGACACAGAUCAGUGUGUUAGUGAUGUAGGGCGUGUCAGGACACAGAUCAGUGUGUUAGUGAUGUAGGGCGUGUCAGGACACAGAUCAGUGUGUUAGUGAUGUAGGGCGUGUCAGGACACAGAUCAGUGUGUUAGUGAUGUAGGGCGUGUCAGGACACAGAUCAGUGUGUCAGUGAGGUAGGGUGUGUCAGGACACAGAUCAGUGUGUUAGUGAUGUAGGGAGUGUCAGGACACAGAUCAGUGUGUUAGUGAUGUAGGGUGUGUCAGGACACAGAUCAGUGUGUUAGUGAUGUAGGGCGUGUCAGGACACAGAUCAGUGUGUUAGUGAUGUAGGGAGUGUCAGGACACAGAUCAGUGUGUUAGUGAUGUAGGGAGUGUCAGGACACAGAUCAGUGUGUUAGUGAUGUAGGGUGUGUCAGGACACAGAUCAGUGUGUUAGUGAUGUAGGGUGACAGUGUCAGGACACAGAUCAGUGUGUUAGUGAUGUAGGGCGUGUCAGGACACAGAUCAGUGUGUUAGUGAUGUAGGGUGUGUCAGGACACAGAUCAGUGUGUUAGUGAUGUAGGGCGUGUCAGGACACAGAUCAGUGUGUUAGUGAUGUAGGGCGUGUCAGGACACAGAUCAGUGUGUUAGUGACUAUUGAAAACAUUCUGCAGUAGCCAUCAUGAUUUCCUGACUUUACGUAUCUUCUGUGUGCUAAUAGUGCAAGCUGACAGCCAUAGAUGUUGUGGGGUUUUGUACGCUCGAUUUACUGAAUUUGAAAUGAUUCAAAUGUAUUAUUGGAAUGUUUUUAUUGUUCAGGCAAUGCUUUGGUAGGUGCAAAUAUCACGUUAGAUGUUGCCUUUUAUUUCAACAUGAAGUCGCAGAGGGUUUAAAUUAUGUUUUGUAGAUAUUUACAUGUUUAUAUUAUCACACACACUUCUGCAUGAAUAUGACUUAAAACUAAGGACCACUGAAUCAUUAAUAUAAAGAUGGUCAUCUAAAUAGAAUUUCAGUGCAGGCUACUAAGGUAGGCUUGAAACCACUUGGAUUUAGAAUUAAAGGUACUACGCAUGUAUGUGUGUAAUUUCACAAAAUGUCCAUAAUAUAUCUGCACCAAUAGUGGAAUGAUAGUGUUUAACAGGAUUACUUAACCGAUAGUGUUGUGAUUGGCUGUGAUGUUUUUGUUUGUCUCCCACCAGAGAGGGAAUCUGUUGUAAGAAAAACCGGGAAAGUUGUUUUGACUUUGUGGCUGUGUUAUCUAGUAACAUUCCACACAAGUAGGAAUUUCCUGGUUGCAAAAAUUCAAUUUCAGUUUAGUGUAGGGAAUCAUUGUACCAUCUAAAUCACUGUGAACUAUCUUUUCAAUAACAAAAAAAAAAAAAAACAUUUUUGAAGCUGGUGGAUCAAAACCGAAAGUUAAAGGCUCAGGCGUCAGUCUCCAUCAUGUUACAGGGAAGUAGAAUGCAGAGGAGGGGGAGAUUUGUUUUGAAUGCAGCAUAAAGCUGUUGCAGUUCCCCCAGCUUCCACACGGGGGAGAAAUUCAGAAUGUAGCACCUUUAACUUCUUCUUAUAUCUGCAUGAACAGACAAACCACUCAUGUUGUCAGCUUUGGCUCAAGGAUCACGCUACUCUAGCUAUAUUUAACAUAACCUCAUAUGCUCUUCAAGGCUACUGCUAUUGUCUGCUUGAGUACUGCAUUUAAUCACCAUUAAGUACUCAAUACACUGUAGAGUGCAUACCUUCUGUAACUACACGUAACAAAAAAUAAUAGUGCACUAGUUAACUAUGUAUAAUGUAUAUAUACUAAUCUACUUCCCACUCCUUACUGGCCUGAUAUUGACUACACUAUCUAGCUAAGUCCCUCUCCUUACUGGGCUAAACUAGCUGGCUAGCUGAACUUGGCUAGUUUUAGUCCUCAUUGCCAAACUUCAUAUAUACUGCACCCUCAACUUCAAAACUCUUUUGCUAGUUAUUGGAACCAUGACAACGGGCAGCCCCUCCCCGCUUAGCUCUGAACGUUUCUGACUGGUCUUGGAACCAUGACAACGGGCAGCCCCUCCCCGCUUGGCUCGAUGGGAUAUGUAGUGAUUUUGCCAACACAGCCAGAUAUGUACGGUCUUGUACCCUUAACCUUUUUUUAAAGUGACUAUUUGUUGAUUAAAUCAGACUUUAUUAAUACCAGGAAUGAACAAGUUAAUUUACAUAAAAAAAUAAUCAUUAUAAAGCAACUGUACAGAGUGCCAAUGGCUACAAUGAAUGGUUAAAUGACUCAGGCACGAAGGAUUAACAGAGCUCCUCCUCGCCUUCUCUAUAGCCCUAGUGGUGACAGAGUCCAUGAUUUUUCGAGUCGACUCCUGGUAUCAGAGUCGUUGGAGUCGACUCUCUCGACAAUGCUCUAAACCAGGGGUAUUCAAAUCUUACCAUACGAAGUCUGGCGCCUGCUGGUUUUCUGUUCUACCUGAUAUUCAAUUGCGCCCACCUGGUGUCCCAGGUCUAAAUCAGUCCCUGAUUAAAAAACGCAGUGGAACGGGCUUCGGGGUCCAGAGUUGCGUUUGAGGGCUCUAAAUAAUGCUGUGUAACUGACUGUCUACAAUUCGAACAAUAUUCUACAUUCUAAAAGUUGGCCCAACAGUCUAAAUAUAUGGCUAUUAGACCGAGACAGUGUUAACCAGGUGGUAUUGCAUUACUAUAUUGAUGGUGGUAGACAAUGGUGUGCAGUGGUGGGCUCUUGCAAUGAUGGUAAAACAUCAGUAGGCUACAUUUUGGUUUGAAUAAACAGAAAGGCUUCAACGCACAGUAAAUGUUUUACACUUACGGCAAGCAAUGUGUCAGAACAUGCAGCAGUAGGCAGCAGCAGCAGUAGGCAGUAGCUGUAGGCAGCAGCAGCAGUAGGCGGCGGCAGCAGUAGGCGGCGGCAGUAGGCGGCAGCAGCAGUAGGUGGCAGCAGCAGUAGGCAGCAGCAGUAGGUGGCGGCGGCAGUAGGCGGCGGCAGUAGGCAGCAGGAUACACUUUUUAUAGCCACUUCCUAUUCUGUGGCACACUUCACCAUUAAUUACUUCUGUUGCUGGUUGACAAUAGUGCUUUAUUUGAUAUGUUGAUAUGUACAGUACUUUCUGUUAGAGGUUUCUUAUUUUCUCAGUUUAUAUUAAAUAUGAUUUUAUAUUCAAGCUUUUGUUUACUGUUUGUUUUAUAAUAGUCAUGUUUAUUAUUUUCUUACUUGUAUUUAAAGUAUGUGUUACUUUGUUACUGAGGGGAGAACAGCACAGUAGUGUAUUUGAUGUGAGAACAGUGCCUGAAGCUCAUAGGAACUACUGUAAACCACUGCUUUAGCAUUCUCUACUGCUGUGAAGGACCUUAUAAAACCAUAUGAGGGAUUUAUUGAUGUGUACUGUGAACAUUAGUGCAAUUAAAAAUCACUGUUCAAAUUGAUUUCUGAUUUCUGAUUUUUCUUAAUUAAAAAAAUAUGAACUAUAAAGUAUUUAAUUUGAAUAUGAAUAUAAUAUUAUGGCCAUGCAUAAUUGAUCAGGACAAUUCCCUUUUAUUGUGAACAAACAUCAGUAGCACAAACAAUUGUAGCACAAACAAUUGAAAACACUGAAAUGAAUGUUAAUGUUAUGUAGGCUUGAUUACCAACAACGACGAGACGGCCUACAGGGAGGAGGUGAGGGCCCUCGGAGUGUGG
ensembl:lncRNA